AGCGGCGGACGGGUGAGUAAUGCCUAUGAAUCUGCCUGGUAGUGGGGGAUAACGUCCGGAAACGGACGCUAAUACCGCAUACGUCCUACGGGAGAAAGCAGGGGACCUUCGGGCCUUGCGCUAUCAGAUGAGCCUAGGUCGGAUUAGCUAGUUGGUGGGGUAAUGGCUCACCAAGGCGACGAUCCGUAACUGGUCUGAGAGGAUGAUCAGUCACACUGGAACUGAGACACGGUCCAGACUCCUACGGGAGGCAGCAGUGGGGAAUAUUGGACAAUGGGCGAAAGCCUGAUCCAGCCAUGCCGCGUGUGUGAAGAAGGUCUUCGGAUUGUAAAGCACUUUAAGUUGGGAGGAAGGGCAGUAAAUUAAUACUUUGCUGUUUUGACGUUACCGACAGAAUAAGCACCGGCUAACUCUGUGCCAGCAGCCGCGGUAAUACAGAGGGUGCAAGCGUUAAUCGGAAUUACUGGGCGUAAAGCGCGCGUAGGUGGUUCGUUAAGUUGGAUGUGAAAUCCCCGGGCUCAACCUGGGAACUGCAUUCAAAACUGACGAGCUAGAGUAUGGUAGAGGGUGGUGGAAUUUCCUGUGUAGCGGUGAAAUGCGUAGAUAUAGGAAGGAACACCAGUGGCGAAGGCGACCACCUGGACUGAUACUGACACUGAGGUGC
rnacentral:rRNA from 1 species